GGAACACUGGAAGAAGGGCCUCUGUCUCUCCCUGCCACGGAUCCGUGCACGUCGUCGACUCGGAGCUGACCUGUGUCACCUGGAGGAUGCUGCCGAAAGUAACGAUGCGUCACCUCCGAGGUCCCGUCGUGGAAGACCUCAAAGAACAGGGACCCUGGGAGUUUGGGGAAAGGAAACUCUCCAAAGGCAUCUGAAAGAAGGAGAAAACACAGGAAGUACUGGCGAAAAGAUGUGAGACCCUCCUGUAAACGUUCCUGAGUCACUUGCAGGCGGCAUCCCCUUUUUCCUUCCCUGGAGCAGAAGCGGCAGACAGACUCUCAGGAAGACAUCCUGUAUGUGGCCCAUUCUCCGCAGUCGGGACAUCUUGAGCCGUGCGUUGCUCUCUGCUGUACCUUCCAGCCCUGGGGCCUCUGACAUUUACUUUCCUAGUGUGUCCAACGCUCCAAUUUCUUUGAGGAGGGCCCAGCUGUGCUCCAAAGUGCGCUGCAGAAGAAACUACACUGAAUUCUCUAUGAAGGAGGCAUUUUUCUUCCCCCCGUUCUACAAGAUGGAGAAACCGUGGAUCAGAGGAGUUAAGCAAAUCACCGAGGCCACACAGCUGGUGGGACCCCAGCAUUGGUAUGUUUUAAAGGUGCCCCCAAUGAUGAUGACGCCAAUGAUGCUGGUAGGAGCAAUCAAGCUACCAUGACAGAUUCUUUUCCCAUAGGAGUCAUCACAGAGUAUGGAGUAGAUUUCCCUGCGCAUAAUUUGAAAAGGCCCUCUGUGGACACAUCGUGGAGAGUUGUAACAAGGUUUUAUGAAGGGAUAGAGAAAGAAGGCCUGCUUGUCUUCGUCAGCUCUUCAAAUGCCUCCUGCGAUGCCACCGCUACAUGGAAGACACCCCGGAAAGGAGGGUGAGCCAGAGGGCCCUGCCACGCGUGGCUGGAAGUCCUACGAGGGAGCCAGGGUCAGAAGCUGGCAUGAUGCCCCCGCAGGCGGAAAUUGCGUCUCACCCACCGUCAUGUCCUGGAGCCUAGCGUGGUGCAUGCAGAAGGUGCUCUGUAAGUGAGCGGCAGCGGAAACUCAAAACUGCAGGAGGUAAAGGGGAAGCGUGUGGCCAGGCUGCCACUUGGAGGGCAACCUGAGCACUUGCAAUCGGGGAUGGCUUCAGGGCAUCAGUGAGGCUGGGUCGGAACCCAGCAUCACACACACACACACAGACCGCUCCUGGUCCAUAGGAAGGGAUCUUCCUACAUUCUCUGGGGACGUCAUGCAUCCUUGGGCUGGCGGGGUUUGAGGGGGUGAGGGGAAGCACGGAGCUCUAAGGCAGAAGGCUCACUGGGAUCUGACUUUGGGUGUGCCCUCGGUAGCCAGCAUCAGGGCAUCGAUGGAUCAGUGAGUCCUCGAUCACUCCAUUUCUUACCUGCACCCCACCCCUGCAAUUCCCCUUGCCUGGGCAUCAAUUGGUCCAGCUCUUUGGCAAGCAUUCACUGGACUCUGAUGUGUCAGGAAUGGGGUCUUAGUGAUGCAACGCAGCUAAGAGGGAGAACGGUGCCGGGUCUACAGCUAAGUAGGCCGUGUAAGAGCUCUGAGUUAAAGAAUCCGAGGACGCCAUGGGACCCCCAGAACAGGCAGCUGUGUCAGCACCCACUCGCGCAUCCUCCCUGUCACCGCUUUUAUCUCUGUAUCCUGGAAGCAGGCUGCUGCAGCGAUGGUGGUGACCUCUGUUCUCCCAUCGCUGUGACAGGAGAGUCAGGCCCUGAUGGAGCGGUAGGCAUCCUCUUCCGGGGAAAGGUGAGCAAAAAAGCCAUGGAGCAGAAAAGCCCUUGGUCAGAACGACCAGCCUCCGCUGAAGACCCAGAAAGAGGAGCAGCAUCCCAGUUUGCGGGGUAACCUGCUCACGAUGCAGCUGCUGGGGCCCAGCCAGGUCCUGGCACGGCUGUCCGGCCAAGUCUGUGAUUAAUGAUGUCACUGCCAGCAAGACAAGCCCUCGACUGAAUAAGCCUCGGCUUUUAACAAAAGCUUUGACUGAGCAGUAAACGGACCAGAGGGAUGACCAACUGUGGGGUGUCCCAAAUAGCGCUAACAUGGAGAGCCUCCAGAAGGAGCACCCACCCGUGAUGGGCAGAAGCAGAAUCUGAUGCGGGAGAGAAAUGGCACCAUCAUUUGGGGAUGUUUGAGGUCAUUUCCUUCACUGAAUAUGGAAACGGACAUCUCUGGAGAGGUCCAAGGUCUUCAAACGCAGAAACAAAGGCUCAGAGGUUAAGGGACUCCCUCCUAGACACACGUAGGAUGGCGACAGAAGGGGCCAGGUGCAGGGCCAUCCCUACGGUGCCACACAGUUUUCAUAAAACGUGGCAGAGUCUUAUAACCGGGCAACCACAACAGUUUCCUAGGUCUGGGAACUGACCAGAGGCACGAGCAGCUACCAGCUUCUCUCAUCAUCACCAGUUGCUGAAUUGCAUCAAGAAAGACGUGGGCGUUUUUCCAAGUGGGGGUCCUGGAUGCAAAAAUCCCUCCUCGGUCCUUUCAUGUUGGAGGAAUACAGCUCCCACCUUUGGUCUUGAACCACUUACUCGGGUAGAAUAUUCUUGGCUCAGACAUCUUCCUUUAGACUUUACACCUUUCUCAAUUUUCUUACGACAUUGAGGGUUAUUUGAGGAGAAAUCUGAGGUCAACACAACAAUUUUCUGAUUUAUAAAUGGCAUACUAUUUUUUCCUAGAUAGCUUUCUUUUCUUUUCUUUGCUUUUCCAGAUACAUUUUUUUUUCCACUAGACAGCUUUCUUUUCUUUUCUUUUCUUUUUUUAGGGCCCCACCUCAGUCUAUAGAAGUUCCCAGGCCAGGGGUCGAAUCAGAGCUGCAGCUGCCGAUCUACCCCACAGCCACAGCAGCACAGAAUCCAAGCCCCAUCUGGGACCUACACCACAGCUCACGGCAACACCGGAUCCUUAACCCACUGAGUGAGACCAGGGAUAGAACCUGUGUCCUCGUGGGUACUAGUCAGGCUCAUUACCGCUGAGCCACAAUGGGAACUCCCUCCUGUAUAGUCUUCCUUCUUGAGCAUCAAGUUCCAUCAGCACAACCUGACAUAUGUCCACUGUUGGUUGCGUAUGUCGAAUUUUUCCCCAAAGUGAUUCUUUCAGCUGAAGAUUCAAUUCUUUAUUCUCAUGAAGCAUCCAUUUGUUUUGUGCUUACAUAUAUUUUCCAUUCCAAUACUUCAGGAAAGGUGAUUACCCCUUUUGACUCACAUAAGCGGGGUAGGUACUUCCCAGUUUCCAAGUACUUCCCCGGCUAUCCAGAAACUCCCUCAAAAAUAGAGUUACCAUGUGACCUGGCAAUCCCAUUCCUGGGUCUCUAGCCAGACAAAACUCUAACUCAAAAAGAUGCAGGCACCUGUGUGUUAUUGCAGCACUACUCACAACAGCCAAGACAUGGAAACAACCUAAAUGUCCCUUGGUAGAUGCACAGAUUAAGAAGAUGUGGUACAUGCAUGCGAUGGGCUAUCACUCAGCCAUAAAAAAGAAUGAAAUAAUGCCAUUUGCAGCAACAAGGAUGGACCCAGCUCGGCGGUCCCAUGAAGAUCAUUGUCAAGUAGGGUUCUUGGCAUCAGUCUUUGGUUCCGGGUGGACUGCAAGCCAGUGGGUAAAUCUACCAUCUGCCCUCCUCCCUGUCCAAGGUCCCCCACCUCCAGGACAACCUUUCAUUCUGAAUCUGGUGAUGGAUACCAGAAAAAGUCAAAGAACAGAAGGGCCAGGGCCAACAGGACAGAAGAAGCCAUUUUUCAGUUACGGCUGCUAAGGAUGAGAUAGUUUCACAACAAGCCAAAAAAAAAAAAAAAAAA
rnacentral:lncRNA from 1 species